rnacentral:rRNA from 1 species
CCUACGGGAGGCAGCAGUGGGGAAUAUUGGGCAAUGGAGGCAACUCUGACCCAGCAAUGCCGCGUGAAUGAAGAAGGUCUUCGGAUUGUAAAGUUCUUUAAUCAGGGACGAAGAAGAUGACGGUACCUGAGGAAUAAGCCACGGCAAACUAUGUGCCAGCAGCCGCGGUAAUACAUAGGUGGCAAGCGUUAUCCGGAUUUAUUGGGUUUAAAGGGUGUGCAGGCGGAGGUGCAAGUCAGCGGUCAAAUUGCGGGGCUCAACCCCGUACUGCCGUUGAAACUGCAUCCCUUGAGUGCGCGAGAAGUAUGCGGAAUGCGUGGUGUAGCGGUGAAAUGCAUAGAUAUCACGCAGAACUCCGAUUGCGAAGGCAGCAUACCGGCGCGCAACUGACGCUCAUGCACGAAAGCGUGGGUAUCGAACAGGAUUAGAUACCCGGGUAGUC